ACAGUCGUUUUUUCCACGUAGUUGAUUUUGGGCGGGAAACUUAUUGUUGUUGUGUCAGAUGUGUCAAGUAUUUUAUUAUAUCACAAUAAACAUCACAAAAUUUGUCGACUUAUCGUUAUUAUUAGUUUAUUUGCUUUUUUAUUGCAUAUCUUAGCAAAAAAACGUUAGCUCAACCUGAACCACUACUUUUUGUAUUGGAAUCAUAUUUUGAUUUAUGAAGGGGCGAGCCCCAGUUGCUUUAUAAGUAGACUUCUGCAUACGAGAUGUUGUAUGGAGAAUGGUCACCGUCCUCGUCGAGCCCUUCGUCACAAGCGACGGGUUGCGACGAAGACGAAGGGGAGGUAUUGCUGUUCGUCCGGAGGUCUUUCCAGUUUCACCAGGGCAGACGGGCCAGCAACGGCUCAGCUAGGAGGGGUGGGAUAUGCUAACAGCUGCCCGAGCGCCUCCGAAGGAGACCUAACGGCUCAAGGGCAGCCACUUCACGAAUGCAUCUACAACCGGAUCGGAAUUGCGACCAGCUGAGAAGAUCCGGCUAGAAAUUUAUCGGGCUUAUCAAUUGUAUUGGGUAAUUGCUGUAUUUACUACCUGAUAGAUAUAGACACGAUGGCGUUACCUAAUUGUCCUAGUAUGGAAAGACAUUUGACAAUCGAAAAAACCUUGUCAAAAAUAUGCCAUCUUUAGUAAUGUUUUGAUCAUAAAUCUCUAUAUAUAAAAAUGAAUUGCUGUUAGUCGUGUAGUGUUCGUUAGUCUAGAUCAGAGCUUCCCAAACUUAUUUUGUCUACUGCCCACUUUAAGAAUAAAAUAUUUUUUAGCGCCCCCAUUUUUUCACCUAUUAAAAAACCAUAACAGCAAGAGCUCAGUCGGUGUCUAAGAGUCCUCCUAGAUGAAAUUACAAAUCGCCUUCCAAGCCACUAACUACACAACACCCCUAUUUUUUUUCUGGGUCUCCUACCGCCCCCCUUUAGGCCUGCAGCGCCCACAGGGGGGCGUUAUCGCCCACUUUGAGAAAGGAUGGUCUAGAUAAAUAUGAAAAUGCAAGGAAUUAAAAAAAAAACAAUUUUGUUUUUCCUUUCAGAUAUCAGAUACUGUAUACCCCUCUGGGGAAAUUCUAGUCACAUAAAUAGAGUGUUCAUUGCACAAAAGCAAUGUGUUCGUGCCAUGUGCAAUAUUCAUCCUCUGACUUCUUGUAAACCAUUCUUCCAAAAACAUAAUAUUUUAACUGUACCAUCCAUAUAUAUACAAGAAUGUUGUUUGUUUGUUAAAAAGCACCCACAAUUAUAUAAAUCGUGUGGCGAGUACUGUCAAUUUAAUACAAGAUACCCUACUAAACUAAUGUUACCAAGUAUAAAUACUCGUUACUACCAUACAAACUGUUAUCCUAUGACUAUCAGAAUAUUUAAUAAGAUACCAAACAGCAUAAGAGAUCUUCCACUAACUCAAUUUAAAAGAAAAUUAUAUUUAUGGCUAAUAGACAAGGCUUAUUAUAGUGUGCAAGAAUUUUUAAAUGAUAUGUGUUGUACAUAAUAAAAUAUUAGAAUAAGAAGUGAUAGAAUGUAAAAAUAGAUAGAUUUAGUAAAUUUUGUGUUAUAAUUAAUAUAAAAAUAAAUUAAAUUUUCGCAUGCCUAAACAGGCGAAAUAUAUGAAGCUAUGUCCUAUAUCUUGUAAACUAUAUUUCUGGCGAAUAAAGAUUUUCUUUCUUU